rnacentral:rRNA from 1 species
AUUGAACGCUGGCGGCAUGCCUAACACAUGCAAGUCGAGCGGCUGCAGGGACCUUGCUCCUGGAUUCAGCGGCGGACGGGUGAGUAAUGCCUAGGAAUCUGCCUUGUAGUGGGGGAUAACGUCCCGAAACGGGCGCUAAUACCGCAUACGUCCUGAGGGAGAAAGUGGGGGAUCUUCGGACCUCACGCUAUUAGAUUAGCCUAGGUCGGAUUAGCUAGUUGGUGGGGUAAAGGCCUACCAAGGCGACGAUCCGUAACUGGUCUGAGAGGAUGAUCAGUCACACUGGAACUGAGACACGGUCCAGACUCCUACGGGAGGCAGCAGUGGGGAAUAUUGGACAAUGGGGGAAAGCCUGAUACAGCCAUGCCGCGUGUGUGAAGAAGGUCUUCGGAUUGUAAAGCACUUUAAGUUGGGAGGAAGGGCAGUAAGUUAAUACCUGGGUGGAAUGACGUUACCGAAAGAAUAAGCACCGGCUAACUACGUG